rnacentral:sRNA from 1 species
CCCUAGCCACGAUAGCAGUGGAAAUCCUUUUGUGCCGGGGUUCGGCACAAAAGAUUGUAACGGAUAGCGGGAAAAAGC